rnacentral:rRNA from 1 species
UGGUUUAAUUCGACGCAACGCGCAGAACCUUUACCUGGUCUUGACGAUACCCGAGAAUUUUCUGGAAACAGAGAAGUGCCUCGCAAGAGGAAUUCGGAGACAGGUGCUGCAUGGCUGUCGUCAGCUCGUGUCGUGAGAUGUUGGGUUAAGUCCCGCAACGAGCGCAACCCUCGUCUUUAGUUGCCAUCAUUAAGUUGGGGACUCUAGCGAGACUGCCAGUGAUAAACUGGAGGAAGGUGGGGAUGACGUCAAAUCAUCAUGCCCCUUAUGACCUGGGCUACAAACGUGAUACAAUGGCUGGAACAAAGGGAUGCGAAGCAGUGAUGUGGAGCGAAACCCAUAAAAACAGUCUCAGUUCGGAUUGAAGUCUGCAACUCGACUUCAUGAAGUCGGAAUCGCUAGUAAUCGCGGAUCAGAACGCCGCGGUGAAUACGUUCUCGGGGUUU